rnacentral:rRNA from 1 species
GCACCAGACUCCUACGGGAGGCAGCAGUGGGGGAUAUUGCACAAUGGGGGAAACCCUGAUGCAGCGACGCCGCGUGUGGGAAGACGGUCCUCUGGAUUGUAAACCCCUGUCCCCAGGGACGAAAAUGACGGUACCUGGGGAGGAAGCCCCGGCUAACUACGUGCCAGCAGCCGCGGUAAUACGUAGGGGGCAAGCGUUAUCCGGAUUUACUGGGUGUAAAGGGAGCGUAGACGGCUGUGCAAGUCUGAAGUGAAAGCCCAGGGCUCAACCCUGGGACUGCUUUGGAAACUGUGGAGCUAGAGUGCUGGAGAGGUAAGUGGAAUUCCUAGUGUAGCGGUGAAAUGCGUAGAUAUUAGGAGGAACACCAGUGGCGAAGGCGGCUUACUGGACAGUAACUGACGUUGAGGCUCGAAAGCGUGGGGAGCAAACAGGAUUAGAUACCC